rnacentral:rRNA from 1 species
UACGUAGGGUGCAAGCGUUAAUCGGAAUUACUGGGCGUAAAGCGUGCGCAGGCGGCUUUGCAAGACAGAUGUGAAAUCCCCGGGCUCAACCUGGGAGCUGCAUUUGUGACUGCAAGGCUAGAGUACGGUAGAGGGGGAUGGAAUUCCGCGUGUAGCAGUGAAAUGCGUAGAUAUGCGGAGGAACACCGAUGGCGAAGGCAAUCCCCUGGACCUGUACUGACGCUCAUGCACGAAAGCGUGGGGAGCAAACAGG